AUUCCAGCUCCAAUAGCGUAUAUUAAAGUUGUUGCAGUUAAAAAGCUCGUAGUUGGAUUUCCGGCGUGAGGGAUCAGUCUGACUUCUAGUCAGUACUUGGUCCUCUCAUGCCGUCCUUGAAUGGUGCAUCCUGGCAUUAAGUUGUCGGGGUGAGAGCCGUUCAUCGUUUACUGUGAGAAAAUUAGAGUGUUCAAAGCAGGCUUAUGCCGUUGAAUAUAUUAGCAUGGAAUAAUAAGAUAGGACUUUGGUACUAUUUUGUUGGUUUGAGAACCAAGGUAAUGAUCAAUAGGGACAGUUGGGGGUAUUCGUAUUCAGUUGUCAGAGGUGAAAUUCUUAGAUUUCCGGAAGACGAACUACUGCGAAAGCAUUUACCAAGGAUGUUUUCAUCA
rnacentral:rRNA from 1 species